rnacentral:rRNA from 1 species
UAGCGGAGGAAAAGAAACCAACAGGGAUUGCCUCAGUAACGGCGAGUGAAGCGGCAAAAGCUCAAAUUUUAAAGCUGACAUCUUCGGUGUCCGCGUUGUAAUUUUGUGAGGCAUCUCCGGGUAGGGCGCCGGCCUAAGUUCCUUGGAACAGGACGUCACAGAGGGUGAGAAUCCCGUGCUUGGCUGGCUGUCCCCGUCCAUGUGAGGUGUCUUCGACGAGUCGAGUUGUUUGGGAAUGCAGCUCAAAAUGGGUGGUAAAUUUCAUCUAAAGCUAAAUAUUGGUGGGAGACCGAUAGCGCACAAGUAGAGUGAUCGAAAGAUGAAAAGCACUUUGAAAAUAGAGUUAAAAAGUACGUGAAAUUGUUGAAAGGGAAGCGCUUGAGAUCAGACUUCGGUAAGGGGUGAUCAGCCGUCCUUCUGGGCGGUGCACUUGCCCCCCUCCGGGCCAGCAUCGGUUGAGGCGGCGGGAUAAAGGUCCCGGGAAUGUGGCUCCUUCACGGGAGUGUUAUAGCCCGGGUGAAUGCCGCCAGCUUCGACCGAGGACCGCACCCGCAAGGGUUAGGAUGCUUGGCAUAAUGGUCUUCAGCGACCCGUCUUGAAACACGGACCAAGGAGUCUAACAUCUAUGCGAGUGUUUGGGUGUCAAACCCUUGCGCGAAAUGAAAGUGAACGGAGGUGGGAACCCGCAAGGGUGCACCAUCGACCGGUCCCGAAGUCUUCUGAAGGAUCUGAGUAGGAGCAUAGCUGUUGGGACCCGAAAGAUGGUGAACUAUGCCUGAAUAGGGUGAAGCCAGAGGAAACUCUGGUGGAGGCUCGCAGCGGUUCUGACGUGCAAAUCGAUCGUCAAAUUUGGGUAUAGGGGCGAAAGACUAAUCGAACCAUCUAGUACU